GCCUAACUAUAAACCAUCCAUUCACACCCACAAACGCCAGGGUACUACAAGCCCAGCUUAAAACCCAAAGGACUUGACGGUGUCCCACCCACCUAGAGGAGCCUGUUCUUUAAUCGAUAAUCCACGUUAAACCUUACCAUUUCUUGCCAAUCAGCCUGUAUACCUCCGUCGCAAGCUUACCAUAUGAGUGUCCCCAGUAGGCUAAAUGAUUCACUCACCAAUACGUCAGGUCAAGGUGCAGCUUAUGAAAUAGUAUAGCAAUGGGCUACAAUUUCUAACCUAGAACAAACGAAAUGCUACAUGAAACACAGCAUGAAGGCGGAUUUAGCAGUCAAAAGAAAACAGCAUAUUCUUUUUAACUCGGCUCUGGGACGCGU
rnacentral:rRNA from 1 species